ACGGGAGGCAGCAGUGGGGAAUAUUGGGCAAUGGGCGCAAGCCUGACCCAGCGACGCCGCGUGAGGGAAGAAGGUCUUCGGAUUGUAAACCUCUUUCAGCAGGGAAGAAGCAAGUGACGGUACCUGCAGAGGAAGUCACGGCUAACUACGUGCCAGCAGCCGCGGUAAUACGUAGGUGGCGAGCGUUAUCCGGAAUUACUGGGUGUAAAGGGUGUGUAGGCGGAGAAGCAAGUCAGGCGUGAAAUUUAUGGGCUCAACUCAUAACCUGCGCUUGAAACUGUUUCCCUUGAGAGUGGGAGAGGUAAACGGAAUUCCUGGUGUAGUAGUGAAAUGCGUAGAUAUCAGGAGGAACACCGGUGGCGAAGGCGGUUUACUGGACCACAACUGACGCUGAGACACGAAAGCGUGGGGAGCAAACAGGAUUAGAUACCCAGGUA
rnacentral:rRNA from 1 species